UACGGGGGGAGCAAGCGUUGUUCGGAUUUACUGGGCGUAAAGGGCGCGUAGGCGGGCUGCCGCGUCCGGGGUGAAAUCCCACGGCUCAACCGUGGAACUGCCUCGGAUACGGGCGGUCUCGAGGGGGGUAGGGGCACGCGGAACUGUGGGUGGAGCGGUGAAAUGCGGUUGAUAUCCACAGGAACUCCGGUGGCGAAGGCGGCGUGCUGGACCCCAUCUGACGCUGAGGCGCGAAAGCCAGGGGAGCAAACGGG
rnacentral:rRNA from 1 species